UACAAAUUUCUUGUUCAAAUACAGACAGAACUUUAGUGAAGAAUACAAUAUUGGAAAAAUAGGUGGAUGGUCUCUUAUGAAUAUUUUAUUUCUGAGGUUUUCCACUGAGAGGAAAAAACCCCAACGAAAUAUGAGACACGUCACUUUAGCUUGGAACUAGAGUUAACAGUAACUCUGUUCAAGAGAAGCAGGAAAUGAGACUAAAAGGCAGAAUAAAAUGAAGCGGGGUUUUUUGUUGUUGUUGAUGGUAUAUGGGGGGGGUUUGUUUCUUUAUUUUUGGUUUUGUUUUUUUUCCCUGGAGAAAAGAUGUUAUUUGUAGGAAAAAGCUCUGAGGGGUGAAGUCAGUCAGUAUGUGCCUAGGAGCCCUUUUGCACAAACAGCCAGCCACAGAGGGUUUACAGGCACAUCUGCAGAGUGAGAGAAAGAUUCAAUAACAGCGUGGCUACCUUCAUUAGUUUUAAACUAAUUCACAUGCUAGUGCUUGGUGUAUUGCUUAAAUGUGUCUGAUUGUUCACCUGUAACAUGAUAAUAUUUUCUCCCUCAUAGGAGGGUGAAGCUGAGGGCUUAUGAGCUUCCCCAUGACAGCUCCUGCUCCAGCUGUGCUGAAGAUGUGCACACACCAAAAUGCACGUGUGCCUAUAGCCGAGGAGGGAGGACUAACUACACUGCCAAAUACUCUUUUAGAGGGAAAGAAAGCUGCAAGGCUGGGAAUUGCAAGAAAACUAGAUAUUACCAGCAUCAAAUCAUCCACAGAGCACUCUAACUAAAAGGAGAACAUUAUGGGAACUGCAUCACAUGAGUUCUAGGUUUGAAAGAGGUGCUACAGCAUCCACUGCAGAUAAUAUGACUCCUGUCCUGUGUAAAUUUCUC